rnacentral:rRNA from 1 species
UGGGGAAUAUUGCACAAUGGGCGCAAGCCUGAUGCAGCCAUGCCGCGUGUAUGAAGAAGGCCUUCGGGUUGUAAAGUACUUUCAGCGGGGAGGAAGGGAGUAAAGUUAAUACCUUUGCUCAUUGACGUUACCCGCAGAAGAAGCACCGGCUAACUCCGUGCCAGCAGCCGCGGUAAUACGGAGGGUGCAAGCGUUAAUCGGAAUUACUGGGCGUAAAGCGCACGCAGGCGGUUUGUUAAGUCAGAUGUGAAAUCCCCGGGCUCAACCUGGGAACUGCAUUCGAAACUGGCAGGGUAGAGUCUUGUAGAGGGGGGUAGAAUUCCAGGUGUAGCGGUGAAAUGCGUAGAGAUCUGGAGGAAUACCGGUGGCGAAGGCGGCCCCCUGGACAAAGACUGACGCUCAGGUGCGAAAGCGUGGGGAGCAAACAGG